rnacentral:rRNA from 1 species
ACCCCACUGCUAUCGGGAUAGGACUAAGACAUGCUAGUUGAGCGCUUCCAGCCAACACGGGAGCGCAGCGCACAGCUCAGUAACACGUGGCUAAUCUGCCCUUGGGACCGGAACACCCCCGGGAAACUGGGGCUAAUUCUCGAUAGGUGAAGAACUCUGGAAUGAGUCUUCGCCAAAAAGACGUUUACGUUAUGCUCGUAGGCGUCGCCCAAGGAUGAGGCCGCGACCGAUCAGGUUGUUGGUGAGGUAAUGGCUCACCAAGCCUUUUACCGGUGCGGGCCGUGAGAGCGGGAGCCCGGAGAUGGGCACUGAGACAAGGGCCCAGGCCCUACGGGGCGCAGCAGUCGCGAAAACUUUGCAAUACACGAAAGUGUGACAGGGCUAUCCCGAGUGCCAUCCGCUGAGGAAGGCUUUUACCCAGUCUAGAACGCUGGGGGAAUAAGGAGAGGGCAAGUCUGGUGUCAGCCGCCGCGGUAAUACCAGCUCUCCGAGUGGUGUGGAUGUUUAUUGGGCCUAAAGCAUCCGUAGCUGGCUAAGUUAGUCCCUUGUUAAAUCCACCGAAUUAAUCGUUGGAUUGCGGGGGAUACUGCUUGGCUAGGGGACGAGAGAGGCAGACGGUAUUUCCGGGGUAGGGGUGAAAUCCUAUAAUCCCGGGAAGACCACCAGUGGCGAAGGCUGUCUGCUAGAACGCGCCCGACGGUGAGGGAUGAAAGCUGGGGGAGCGAACCGGAUUAGAUACCCGGGUAGUCCCAGCUGUAAACGAUGCAGGCUAGGUGUUUGGACGGCCACGUGCCGUUCUAGUGCCGCAGGGAAGCUGUUAAGCCUGCCGCCUGGGGAGUACGAUCGCAAGAUUGAAACUUAAAGGAAUUGGCGGGGGAGCACCACAAGGGGUGAAGCUUGCGGUUU